rnacentral:rRNA from 1 species
UGGGGAAUAUUGCACAAUGGGGGAAACCCUGAUGCAGCGACGCCGCGUGAACGAAGAAGGUAUUCGUAUCGUAAAGUUCUGUCCUAUGGGAAGAUAAUGACAGUACCAUAGAAGAAAGCUCCUGCUAAAUACGUGCCAGCAGCCGCGGUAUACGUAUGGAGCGAGCGUUGUCCGGAAUUAUUGGGCGUAAAGGGUACGCAGGCGGUUUAAUAAGUCGAAUGUUAAAGAUCGGGGCUAAACCCCGUAAAGCAUUGGAAACUGAUAAACUUGAGUAGUGGAGAGGAAAGUGGAAUUCCUAGUGUAGUGGUGAAAUACGUAGAUAUUAGGAGGAAUACCAGUAGCGAAGGCGACUUUCUGGACACAAACUGACGCUGAGGUACGAAAGCGUGGGGAGCAAACAGG